CCUCUGUUUGCACCUGUUCACCAGAAUCAGAAUACUUUAUUAAUCCCUGAGGAAAUUGUGUGCACAGAGUCGCUCCAUACCAAAUA